UUUAAGAAAAAGCUAAGGCAACAAAAUCAGCAGACUGAAACCUCCUCAGUUGUGACAAACCUAGAGGUAUGGAACAUUAAUUUGUCCACAUUUAUAUCCAACUAUUGUUUCUGUUUUCAUAGCACAUUUAGCAACAUCAUAAAUCCUAUUUGUAAGCAUGUGAUCAGGGAAAUUGUUAUCCGCUUGAAUUUGGAUUGUAAUAAAUCCUAUUAUUAUAAUGUAUUUGGAUUUAUGACUAAAGAUUACUGGGUCUUGGGCUGGUUUCCAAAUUGAAAUGGAUUGUUAUAACAAC
rnacentral:lncRNA from 1 species